rnacentral:tRNA from 2 species
AUUGGGGUGGCAGAGUAAGAUGCAAUGGAUUUAAAAUCCGUAGAGGAACUAAGUUCUCCCAAUA